rnacentral:rRNA from 1 species
ACGGAGGAUCCAAGCGUUAUCCGGAAUCAUUGGGUUUAAAGGGUCCGUAGGCGGUUUAUUAAGUCAGUGGUGAAAGCCCGCAGCUCAACUGUGGAACGGCCAUUGAUACUGAUAGACUUGAAUUACUGGGAAGUAACUAGAAUAUGUAGUGUAGCGGUGAAAUGCUUAGAUAUUACAUGGAAUACCAAUUGCGAAGGCAGGUUACUACCAGUGGAUUGACGCUGAUGGACGAAAGCGUGGGGAGCGAACAGGAUUAGAUACCCUGGUAGUCCACGCCGUAAACGAUGGAUACUAGCUGUUGGGCGCAAGUUCAGUGGCUAAGCGAAAGUGAUAAGUAUCCCACCUGGGGAGUACGUUCGCAAGAAUG